rnacentral:rRNA from 1 species
GAUGAACGCUGGCGGCGUGCCUAAUACAUGCAAGUCGAGCGAACAGAUGAGGAGCUUGCUCCUCUGACGUUAGCGGCGGACGGGUGAGUAACACGUGGAUAACCUACCUAUAAGACUGGGAUAACUUCGGGAAACCGGAGCUAAUACCGGAUAAUAUAUUGAACCGCAUGGUUCAAUAGUGAAAGACGGUUUUGCUGUCACUUAUAGAUGGAUCCGCGCCGCAUUAGCUAGUUGGUAAGGUAACGGCUUACCAAGGCGACGAUGCGUAGCCGACCUGAGAGGGUGAUCGGCCACACUGGAACUGAGACACGGUCCAGACUCCUACGGGAGGCAGCAGUAGGGAAUCUUCCGCAAUGGGCGAAAGCCUGACGGAGCAACGCCGCGUGAGUGAUGAAGGUCUUCGGAUCGUAAAACUCUGUUAUUAGGGAAGAACAAAUGUGUAAGUAACUAUGCACGUCUUGACGGUACCUAAACAGAAAGCCACGGCUAACUACGU